UGGCGGACGGGUGAGUAAUGUCUGGGAAACUGCCCGAUGGAGGGGGGUAACUACUGGAAACGGUAGCUAAUACCGCAUAACGUCGCAAGACCAAAGAGGGGGACCUUCGGGCCUCUUGCCAUCGGAUGUGCCCAGAUGGGAUUAGCUAGUAGGUGGGGUAACGGCUUACCUAGGCGACGAUCCCUAGCUGGUCUGAGAGGAUGAUCAGCCACACUGGGACUGAGACACGGCCCAG
rnacentral:rRNA from 1 species